rnacentral:rRNA from 1 species
GUGAGUAGUUCAGAGUUUGAUCCUGGCUCAGGACGAACGCUGGCGGCGUGCUUAACACAUGCAAGUCGAACGGAGUAAAGAGCUCGGUUUUUUACUUAGUGGCGAACGGUGAGUAACGCGUGAGGAACCUGCCUUUCAGUGGGGGACAACAGUUGGAAACGACUGCUAAUACCGCAUGAUACUAUUGGACCGCAUGGUCUGGUAGUCAAAGAUUUAUUGCUGAAAGAUGGCCUCGCGUCUGAUUAGCUAGUUGGUGAGGUAACGGCUCACCAAGGCGACGAUCAGUAGCCGGCCUGAGAGGAUGAACGGCCACAUUGGGACUGAGAUACGGCCCAG